UUUCAAUGGUUUCUUACGUUAUCUAGCGUGUAUAUUUUGUUACUUUCAUGUAUUUCGUGCUCUACAUUUUAAAAAUAUAAUUCGUUUGUUGGUUUGAAAUAAUAUUCAUUAAAAUAAUUUUGAGUUUUGCGUAAGAUAAUUUUUAGAGUUGUUAACGUUAGAAGAUAUAGUGAUACAUUUAAUUAGUGCGCGAUUAGUGUAAUUGUGUUUAAAUGAGAACAAGAAUAUAG
rnacentral:lncRNA from 1 species